rnacentral:rRNA from 1 species
UGGGGAAUCUUGCGCAAUGGGCGAAAGCCUGACGCAGCAACGCCGCGUGAGCGAAGACGGCCUUCGGGUUGUAAAGCUCUGUCAGGAGGGACGAAGCCACUCGGGUGAAUAGCCCAGAGGGUGACGGUACCUCCAGAGGAAGCCCCGGCUAACUACGUGCCAGCAGCCGCGGUAAUACGUAGGGGGCGAGCGUUGUCCGGAAUCAUUGGGCGUAAAGCGCGUGUAGGCGGCCAUCCAAGUCCGAUGUGAAAGCUCAGGGCUCAACCCUGAGUCUGCAUUGGAAACUGUAUGGCUAGAGUCCGGAAGAGGAGACUGGAAUUCCUGGUGUAGCGGUGAAAUGCGCAGAUAUCAGGAAGAACACCGGUGGCGAAGGCGGGUCUCUGGGACGGUACUGACGCUGAGACGCGAAAGCGUGGGGAGCAAACA